CAACGGAUAAAAGCUACCCUGGGGAUAACAGGCUUAUCUCCCCCAAGAGUCCACAUCGACGGGGAGGUUUGGCACCUCGAUGUCGGCUCAUCACAUCCUGGGGCUGUAGUAGGUCCCAAGGGUUGGGCUGUUCGCCCAUUAAAGUGGUACGCGGGCUGGGUUCAGAACGUCGUGAGACAGUUCGGUCCCUAUCCGUCGCAGGCGUAGGAAAUUUGAGAAGACCUGUCCUUAGUACGAGAGGACCGGGAUGGACGUACCUCUGGUGUACCAGUUGUCCUGCCAAGGGCAUGGCUGGGUAGCUAUGUACGGAAUGGAUAAGCGCUGAAAGCAUCUAAGCGCGAAG
rnacentral:rRNA from 1 species